AAACUGCAAGGUCACUGGGACCUACCAGGUCACACAAAGGUGGAGGUGGGGGUUGUGUUGGGGUGUGUGUGUGGGGGCGGGGGGGGGACUGCAGAGUCAGGGAAGAACCCGGAGGGAUCAAAACACGUCAGGAAAAUAAAAACGCCUUUUUGUACGGCCGGGAGUCUUGCGGUGAAAGUCAGGGCAGCGGUGCAAGUCCACGCGCGGGGAUGGCUUCGGAGGGGCGCUGCGGGGGGAGGACGAGGAGGCGGACGGAACGCUGAGGGGAGGCUGAGGGAGCCUCAGGACGGCGGCUGCAGAGUCACGGAGACCCUGGGCUCCUCCGGGAUCCUCAGCUCGGGCCUGCGCCGGGGCCAACGCGGGGCAAGCCCCGUGACCCCACCCCAGAAAACUCCGGGGCCCCCGGGCCGGGGGGGGCGGCCGGCGCGGCGCGGCGCGGACGGUCGGCGGCCGCCCCUCAGAGGCUCCGGCCCGGGGGCCGCCGCGCCCGCCCCCCCGCGCCCCCCGCCCCCCGCCCCCCGCCGCGGCGUCCUUACCCGGCGCAAAGCCGUCGGCUCCCGGCGGUCGGGCGGCCACUCCAGCGGCGGGGCGCCCUCACCCUUCCGCGCCCAAGAUCGCCAUCUCGAAGCAGGCGCGGCGGCGGCGGCGGCGGCGGCGGCGGCGGCGGCAGCCACCCAGGCGUCGGCCCCGGCAGCCCAGGCCGCCUGCAGCCACUUGGAACCCGCUCGCCGCGCCGCGCUCGGCGACACCCGACCCUCCCCCCACCCCCACCCCGGCCGCGCGCCGCCCCCGGCAGACCCCACACCUCCCGCCUCAGGAGCGCGCCGCGUGCUCGCGUCACCGGCGCCGCGCCGCGAGCGCGCGCCUGCGCCGCGGCCGCCUCAGAGCCCCCCUCCCCCCACGCCGGGACCCGGAACCCGGGCUUCCCGCGAGCAUGCGCAGCGAGGGCGCCCCCGCGAGGAUGCUUUCGGAAAACUCCGCUCCUCCGGGGCUGCGGAGCGCGCUCGAGGAGAGCCGAGGGCCAGCCAAUGGGAGGAGGGGGGCGGGGCCCAAACCUGUGGAGGGGGCGGGGCCACCGCUGAGAUUUGGGAAGAGGCCUCUGAGCGCGAGGUGGCUGCUGCUGACCUGGCUUCCCCGUCCGUCCGGGACUGGGACAGCGCGGGUGAGCGACCUCGGGUCAGGGCCCCCGGCGCUGGCCUUCUCAUCUCGAGUGCUUUACUGCAAAAGUAG
rnacentral:lncRNA from 1 species